AGACUGGUGAUUUGGAGGGAAUUGAAAAGUACAGCAAAAGGACUGUCAAGGUAACCAAGCAACAUAAUGAAGAUUGUAAACGUCUCUUAAGACUAAUGGGUGUGCCUACUAUUGAGGCACCCUGUGAAGCAGAA